UGAGUGAUUGAGAAGCUCUAGUGAUGCUCACUGAUCUGUUUCAACGUGUUUCGAGGCGGUUUUCUACACCAACUCAGAGAAGAGACUUAUCUAAUACACUGCAGUAAUAAAGGUGGUUUACCAGUCGUUUAUUGAAAGCGUGUUAAAAUAGAGACUGUAAACUGUAGCCAUUAAUAAGUAGCCAUUUUAGCCAGUUGUUGCUAAAAAGUGCUGGACACAGCUAGAGCGGACAUUAUGGUUAAAGAGUCAAAGAUUCAUGUCAAGUAAAAGCAAUGGAGGAGGAUGAAAACAAGGCAGAGAUCUGUGGGGUUUUCAGUCCAGGCCCUGUGCCAGACAAGACAAGAUCAGCUCCUGAGUCAGUGCUACAUGCCCGGUCCAGGCAGGCCCUGAGUGGGCCACAGCGUGGGAGCAGACGGGGAUAUGGAGCACCCCACGAUUAAUCAGACCCAGUGCUCUGACAGUUUUACUGUGUCUACACUGAAUGAGUGACGUGACAAAAUUGGAAUGAUGAAAUCAAGUUUUAGUGUUUCUUUGAUUACCAUGUUCUGGUUUUAUUGUGCUACAUUGUUCACUCUCAGUAUAGAUGAGAGUAAAACUGAUUAUUUUGACUGUAAUUAUUGAAAUGUAAUCUGAUCUUAACUUUAGGUUUAACAAAACAUGUAAAUAAUCCAAGGAUAUAACCACAUACAAUACUGUUUAAAA